rnacentral:misc_RNA from 1 species
UGCAAUAUUUGACAUGCGUUUGACAACAGGAAGAACAUCGCUACUCCAUCCAACAGCUACCCACACAUCCCCAACUGCAAAUGCUUUCAGAUAGUGUGUGCUAUCGAACAAACGUACCUGUUUUGCAAGUGAAGUUAGAUUUUGUUGAACUGCAUCUCUGCCACCGGGAAUUUGCGAGCUUAUGUUUUUUGUGUUAUAGGAUGCACCCAUGUACUUUAGAACAGCACCAA